CACACGGUGAAUGCCUUGGUGCCAGUAGGCGAUGAAGGACGUGUUUAAGCUGCGAUAAGCCUCGGUGAGCUGCAACCAAGCUCUGACCCGAGGAUUUCCGAAUGGGGUAACCUGUAUGCCUUAAUAGGUGUACGUUCCUCUCUGAAUAUAUAGGAGAGGAUACGCGAACCCGGUGAAGUGAAACAUCUCAGUAACCGGAGGAAAAGAAAGCGAAUGCGAUUCCGUAAGUAGUGGCGAGCGAAAGCGGAUCAGCCCAAACCAGGGGCUUUGCUCCUGGGGUUGUAGGGCUCCGAUGUGGUAUCCUGAAAGUUAGUCGAAGUGGUUGGAAAGCCACUCCAUAGAAGGUGAAAGGCCUGUAAGCGAAAACUGGAUGGAGCCUAGGAUGUCCCUGAGUAAUACGGAACACGUGAAACUCCGUAUGAAUCUGCGCCGACCAUGGCGUAAGGCUAAAUACUAACUGGCGACCGAUAGUGAACUAGUACCGUGAGGGAAAGGUGAAAAGUACCCCUUUGAGGGGAGUGAAAUAGUACCUGAAACCGUGUGCCUACAAGGAGUGGGAGCCUCUUCGGAGGUGACCGCGUGCCUUUUGCUUAAUGAGUCUACGAGUUAGUGUCUGUGGCAAGCUUAAGCGCUUUUGGUGCGUAGGCGUAGCGAAAGCGAGUCCGAAUAGGGCGACCAUAGUCGCAGGCGCUAGACCCGAAACGGAGGUGACCUACCCAUGGCCAGGUUGAAGCAUCGGUAAAACGAUGUGGAGGACCGAACCGGUACAGGUUGAAAACUGUUCGGAUGAGCUGUGGGUCGGAGUGAAAGGCUAAUCAAACCCCGUGAUAGCUGGUUCUCCUCGAAAUGCAUUUAGGUGCAGCGUCGCGUGCUUACCCUCGGGGGUAGAGCACUGAAUGAGCUAGGGCCCAUACCAGGGUACCAAACUCAACUAAACUCCGAAUACCGGGGGUGGAACGCGGCAGUGAGACUGCGGGGGAUAAGCUUCGUAGUCGAAAGGGAAACAGCCCAGAUCAGCAGCUAAGGUGCCUAAAUAGUGCUCAGUGGAAAGGAGGUGGGAUUUCAUAGACAGUGAGGAUGUUGGCUUAGAAGCAGCCACCAUUUAAACAAAGCGUAACAGCUGACUCAUCGAGAGAUCCUGCGCCGAAAAUGAUUGGCGAUAAGCACUAUACCGAAGCUCUGGAUGCACAGCUUGCUGUGCGUGGUAGAGGAGCGUUCUCAACACCUUGAAGCCUUAAGGCGACUGAUGGUGGAGCGUUGAGAAGUGAGUAUGUAGACAUGAGUAACGAUAAGCCAGGUGAGAUCCCUGGCCGCCGUAAACCCAAGGUUUCCUGGGCCAUGCUGGUCAUCCCAGGGUUAGUCGGGACCUAAGCCGAGGCCGAUGGGCGUAGGCGAUGGACUAAAGAGGUUAAUAUUCCUCGACUUCCGAACCUUAAACUAGAAGGACGCAUAUUGAAUGAAGACAAGCUUAUUGAAUUGUGAGACGCAGGGUAUCGUCCCGGUCGUAUCUUUUGAAGAUGUGCCAAGAAAAGUUCUAGUGUAUGCUAUGGAACCCGUACCGUAAACCGACACAGGUGGGUGGGUAGAAUAUACUAAGGCGCAAGAGUGAAACCCUGUUAAGGAACUCGGCAAUCUAGCCCCGUAACUUCGGGAGAAGGGGUCCCGGGACUCGUCCCGGGCGCAGUGAAAGGGCCCAUCCGACUGUUUAGCAAAAACACAGCAUUCUGCGAACACGCAAGUGGAAGUAUAGGAUGUGACACGUGACCAAUGCCAAAAGAUUAAGGGGAGGUGUUAGCCUUCGGGCGAAGCUCUGAUCCUAAGUCCUGGUGAAUGUCGGCCGUAACUAUAACGGUCCUAAGGUAGCGAAAUUCCUUGUCGGGUAAGUUCCGACCUGCACGAAUCGUGCAACGAGAUGGGCGCUGUCUCAACAGGGAGCUCAGUGAAAUUGUAUCCGCGGUGAAGAUGCCGCGUACCCGCAGAAGGACGGAAAGACCCUAUAGACCUUAACUGUAAGCUGUCACUGGUUUCUCGAUUUUAAUGCUCAGCAUAAGUGGGAGGCUUUGAACCAUUCCUCUAGGGGAGUGGGGAGCCAUCAGUGAGAUACCACCCUUUAGCAUUGGGGAAUCUAACCUCUAGCCUUUAUCAGGCAGAGGGACCAUGGCAGCCGGUCAGUUUGACUGGGGCGGUCUCCUCCUAAAGAGUAACGGAGGAGCGCGAAG
rnacentral:rRNA from 1 species